rnacentral:piRNA from 3 species
CACUCUGGACUCUGAAUCCAGCGAUC